AUGGCGACCCACCGCUCCCUCUUGCCCGCACCAUGCAUCACGGCGCUGCUCCUGGCGGCGGUGAUCAGCACCGAUGCCUCCUACACCGUACAGGAAGAUCGGAGGGAGGCGCAUCUCGAGCCGGCUGACGAAGCCGGCCACAGGACGUACAUCGUCCUUCUCGAGCCACCGGCAGGAGGCCAACACAUGGAUGCCGAUGCUCACAGAGCAUGGCACCAGUCCUUCCUGCCGUCCAUGAAGACGGCCCUCGGCAAGCCGCGACUGCGGCGGUCGUACCGGACCCUCGUCCACGGGUUCUCUGCGCGGUUGACGGAGAGGGAGGUGAAGCGGGUCUCCGCCAAGCCGGGAGUCAUCCGGGCCUUCCCCAACGUCAUCCGGUACCUGGAGACCACGCGGACGCCGGCGUUCCUCGGCCUCCCCUACCAGGUGGAGGAGUCGCCCGAAGACUGGCCUGGCUAUGGCGGCCUUGGGAUGAUAAUCGGCAUCGUGGAUGGCGGCAUCGCCAACAAUCAUCCGUCCAUGGACGACGCUGGAUUCGAGGGCAUCGAGCCGCCGCAACGAUGGAGGGGCUCCUGCCACAAGGACUUCAAGUGCAACAGGAAGAUCAUCGGGGCCAAGAAUUACUUCAACUCCGCACCACCUUUGGAUGUUGACAGCGGACAUGGCACCCACGUGGCGACCAUCGCGGCGGGAAACUUCGUCGCAGGCGCCAACGUCAACGGCCUCGCCAGGGGCAACGCGUCAGGCAUCGCUCCGCAGGCGCACGUCGCCGUCUACAAGGGGUGCAGCCGAACGAGCUGCCCUGACGAAUCGGUGCUGUCAGCCAUCAUUGCGGCGGUGGACGACGGGGUAGAUGUCAUCUCGCUGUCUGUCGGAGGAAUCUCCAACGCUACGUACGACCAUGACCCGAUUGCCGUGGCCUCCUUCGCCGCCAUGCGGGCCGGCAUCCUCGUCGUCGCUACCGCCGGCAAUGCGGGCCCACAUCCAUCGACCGUCCAGAACGAUGUACCUUGGCUUAUGACCGUGGGAGCCGGCACCGUGGACCGGUUACUUAUGGCGAGGGUUGUAAUUGGGGGCGUGCAUAACCCACUGCAUAUAUUUGCCGGUCAGUCGCUCGCCGAUAGGCAGUGGCUGACGACAGUUCGACCAGAUGUUAUGCACGAUCUGCUCUACAGCAACGACGGGGAUCGCGCCAAGUGCGUGUACCCGAAAGACGAGAUGGCGGUACGUGUUUCAGGCCGGGUCGUCAUCUGCGAUGAAAUAGAAGAGGAUGAAGUGGAAGAGGGUCCCGUCGAUGAGUUGCUGAGUAGUAACGCGUCUGCGAUCAUUGUGGUGGACUCAAAGGAGUGCGGAUACACCAGAAACUUGGUGGACAUGGGCGACAUUCCGAUUCUUCAGGUGCCCUACAACGAUGGCGUGUCUUUGAAGGACUAUUCAUCUUCGCCGCACCUCAAGGCGGCUGUCGACUUCAACCGCGGCACCGUUCUGGGUACUACUCCAGCUCCCACGGUGGCCUAUUUCUCGUCACGUGGCCCGAGCCAAUACUUCCCCGCCAUCCUGAAGCCCGACGUGCUCGCGCCCGGGGUCAAUAUCCUAGGAGGGAUACCGUACAAGCCCGGCGACGGUCCUGUGUACUUCGGGUUCAAGUCGGGCACCUCCAUGGCGGCUCCACAUGUAAGCGGCGCAGCCAUCUUGUUGAAGAGCGCACAUCCAAGUUGGAGUCCAGCCGCAAUCAAGUCUGCGCUGAUGACAACGGCGGACAUAGUCGACAACUCCGGGCAUGGAAUCCGAGACGAGCAGCUAGACGCUGCCAACGCGUACAAAAUGGGAGCUGGGCAAAUCAACGUGUCCAGGGCCAUGGACCCUGGGCUCGUGUACGAGCUCAAGGAGGGGCAGUACGCUGCCCACGUCUGCUCCACGCUCGGCGAGGCCGCACUGCGCGCUGUUGCAUGCAAUAACUCGUGGAGAUGCUCCGAGCUGCCAACCACGCACCCGUCCAACCUCAACUACCCAAGCAUCACGGUCCCGCUGCAACCGAGGGGGUUCAUUGUGGUGAGGACGCUGACGAACGUCGCGCCUCGGAUCUCCGAGCCGGAGAUAUACAUGGCCAAGGUGGUCAUGCCUUCGGAGGUGCGCGUGAUCAUCGACCCAAGCACACUCAUGUUCAAUUAUACAGGGCAGGAGGGCUCGUACCAGAUCUCCGUGAGGAGCACCAGCAACUCACCGGUCCAAGGAGCUGUGUACCACGGUACCGUCGAAUGGUCUUCAAGCGAGCACACGGUCAGAAGCCCCAUGCUUGCCGUCGUCGACCUGGCCACCUCUCACCCGUCCACGCCGUGGAAGCUUCACUGA
rnacentral:rRNA from 1 species